rnacentral:rRNA from 1 species
GAUCAUGGCUCAGAUUGAACGCUGGCGGCAGGCCUAACACAUGCAAGUCGAACGGUAACAGAAAGCAGCUUGCUGCUUUGCUGACGAGUGGCGGACGGGUGAGUAAUGUCUGGGAAACUGCCCGAUGGAGGGGGAUAACUACUGGAAACGGUAGCUAAUACCGCAUAACGUCGCAAGACCAAAAGAGGGGGGACCUUCGGGCCUCUUGCCAUCGGAUGUGCCCAGAUGGGAUUAGCUGUAGGG